ACCCCCUCGCGUUUUCUCCGACAAGCAUCGUGGUCCUCCGUUUUCUCUAGUGUGCUGUCCUGCUCCGCCGCAUCGUCUCCCGCUCCGCCGCGCCUCGCCCGUCGCCCAUGCCACGCCGCGCCGGCCACCACGCCUCGAUCGCGCCUGCGCCUGCGCCGCUCCACUCCCCCGCGCCUCCUCCCUCGAUUCGGACGCUUUCUCCUGCGAUUCGGCACCGCGGCUGGGAGGGACGAUUCGGGAGGCUCGGCAUACUCCGGCGGCUCAGAAACUGGUGUCUCGGUGGCUCCUCCACCUUGGAUUUGAUUUGGAGGGCAUGGGGACGAGUGAUGUGCUGCUGCGGUGCUCCUCCACCUUUGUCGUCCAUGGCGGGCGGCGGCGCGGAAGUGUGUGGUUCGGCGCCAACUUACUGCAAAUUCCCCAAUGAGUUGAGACGAUCUCACUUGAUGAGGCUGCAAGGCUGCUCCUUGGAGAGACAUGCUGAGAGCAAUAUGAGAACUAAAGUUCGACGACUGUAUGACAUUGCCAAUGUGCUAUCUUCUUUGAACCUUAUUGAGAAGACACAACAAGUGGAUUCAAGAAAGCCUGCAUUCAGGUGGCUCACAUUUCCAUUCAUAUUGAUAUGCAUAAAUUGGUGUAUGACCAUGUAAGGGAGGAGAGGAAGCAUAUUCAAGAUUGGAAAAUCUCACUAAAUCGUUGCAGAACCAAAAUCCAAGGAGUGAAAUUGAGGCUGCAGAGGAAGGCGACGACCAUGUCCUCCCUCGUCCAGGUCUUCAGUGACCUCCUUCCUCGACGGAGCGGCGACAGACGGCGAGGAAGCAGCGGAGGAGGGAGCUGUGGAGGAGAGGCGCGGUCGUAGGAGGGAGCGCGGCUAGCCGCCCGCCCGCCCGGCGCGUCCGCGAGCUCUGGCGGCGGGAGCUCCGCUUGCCUCCGGUGGCGCGAGGACAGCAGGACGGCGACGCAGGGCAGCGCGAUGGAUAUCCGCGCCCGCGAGUUCUGGCGGGAGGCCGGCGGGAGCUCCGUGAGCCUCCAGCAGCACGACGACCGCGGGACGAAGACGGAGGGCAGCGCGAUGGGAAGAUUCGGUUUUGAAUUUCAGGUUUGAAUUCCAAAAUUCAAAUGCUCUGGAUGUUUCAGGGAUUAUUUUGCAAAAUUUGAUUUGCACUGGACAUGAGGGAGGACGCCGACAUCCUUUUAUGGACAGAGAGAGUACUACUUGUACUCAGCAUGAUAACCAAGUUGAAUACUCUCUCCGUUCUAUAGCAAGUGACUUCUAUUACAAUGUAUAUAGAUGUUUUUAAAAUAUAAAUACAUUCAUAUUUAGGUAAAUUUGAUUUACUUGGUA